rnacentral:rRNA from 1 species
AAUGCUUAGGAAUCUGCCUAUUAGUGGGGGACAACAUUCCGAAAGGAAUGCUAAUACCGCAUACGCCCUACGGGGGAAAGCAGGGGAUCUUCGGACCUUGCGCUAAUAGAUGAGCCUAAGUCAGAUUAGCUAGUUGGUGGGGUAAAGGCCUACCAAGGCGACGAUCUGUAGCGGGUCUGAGAGGAUGAUCCGCCACACUGGGACUGAGACACGGCCCAGACUCCUACGGGAGGCAGCAGUGGGGAAUAUUGGACAAUGGGCGCAAGCCUGAUCCAGCCAUGCCGCGUGUGUGAAGAAGGCCUUUUGGUUGUAAAGCACUUUAAGCGAGGAGGAGGCUACCGAGAUUAAUACUCUUGGAUAGUGGACGUUACUCGCAGAAUAAGCACCGGCUAACUCUGUGCCAGCAGCCGCGGUAAUACAGAGGGUGCGAGCGUUAAUCGGAUUUACUGGGCGUAAAGCGUGCGUAGGCGGCUUUUUAAGUCGGAUGUGAAAUCCCUGAGCUUAACUUAGGAAUUGCAUUCGAUACUGGGAAGCUAGAGUAUGGGAGAGGAUGGUAGAAUUCCAGGUGUAGCGGUGAAAUGCGUAGAGAUCUGGAGG